AGACUCAGCACUGACCUGAGAACUGUGGCAGAAAGCCAGAAGAGAUAAGAAGAAGCAGCAAAAGCGGCAUGCAGCCAAGGAAGACACAAAGAUCUCUAAUGGAGAGAGCGAGAGAGAACUAAGUUCUACGGAGACAGUUUGGGGUAAGAACUGAAACAAACUCCCCAAACCCCUCUGAGACCUCCUAGAGAGGAAGAGAAGAUGGACUCCCAUUUGAGAAGAGUCUUGGAGUGCAGCAUGCACCAGAGAGAGGAACUAAGAAGCUCAAGACAUCCCGGAGCUGGACCGGGACAGUCAGACAGAAUGUGGAGGGGGUGACCUCGC